UACGUAGGGGGCAAGCGUUGUCCGGAAUCAUUGGGCGUAAAGAGCGUGUAGGCGGCUCGAUAAGUCUGCUGUGAAAGUCCAGGGCUCAACCCUGGAAAGCCGGUUGAUACUGUCGGGCUAGAGUCCGGAAGAGGCGAGUGGAAUUCCCGGUGUAGCGGUGAAAUGCGCAGAUAUCGGGAGGAACACCAAUGGCGAAGGCAGCUCGCUGGGACGGUACUGACGCUGAGACGCGAAAGCGUGGGGAGCAAACAGG
rnacentral:rRNA from 1 species